AUAAACGCAAGUGUUUGUUGUUCAAAUAUUUAAUUCCAUGUGUUAUCUCAAACGCAUAUAAAUUAAACACAAUCUUUUUUUCUUAAGCAGAGUCAACACAUUUAUAUCUUUAGACAACACGCGUACUUUUCACUCAUUUUUUAAAGGUAUUUCAAGGUCUUCUGAUUUGUAUAAAAAAGCGGAUUGCAGAAAUACUGGCUAAUUCAAAGUUGUGUGUUCAAGUGAAACUCAUUAAAGCUAACCUUAAACUGAUCAAAAUGAUGGUAAAAGUGAUCUUCGUCUUAGUAGCAGUCCUAUUGCUUCUUGCAUUUGUCAACAACGUUUCAGGAUAUUGCAUGGGAGCUAAAAACACCAUUAUGGAAUGGUGCAGUGGUGGCGGCGAGGCAAACAAUUGCAAACAAUCGUGCAAAACUGCUGGCUACGGUAAUGGAUGCUGUGACCCCAGUAAGAAGUGUUUGUGCAACUACCUUUGAACAAUAUAAAUAUCACAAAAGAUGAUAAAGUUUUUACCUUGAUUCUGUCAAAUCUACAUUCAAUUGUUUUGUGAGAAAUAUUAUUGUGAAACAUUUUUUGAUUCAUUAAAUAGAGAAAUGAUUACAGCGAUAGCUCAACUUGUCGAA